AUUGAACGCUGGCGGCAGGCCUAACACAUGCAAGUCGAGCGAGCGGCGGACGGGUGAGUAAUGUCUGGGAAACUGCCUGAUGGAGGGGGAUAACUACUGGAAACGGUAGCUCAUCCCGCAUACCAUCAGAUGUGCCCAGAUGGGAUUAGCUAGUAGGUGGGGUAAUGGCUCACCUAGGCGACGAUCCCUCGCUGGUCUGAAAGGAUGACCAGCCAAUCUGGAACUGGGACACGGUCCAGAAUCCGACGGGGGGCAGCAGUGGGGAAUAUUGCACAAUGGGCGCAAGCCUGAUGCAGCCAUGCCGCGUGUGUGAAGAAGGCCUUCGGGUUGUAAAGCACUUUCAGCGGGGAGGCGUUACCCGCAGAAGAAGCACAGGCUAACUCCGUGCCAGCAGCCGCGGUAAUUC
rnacentral:rRNA from 1 species